rnacentral:rRNA from 1 species
AUUGAACGCUGGCGGCAGGCCUAACACAUGCAAGUCGAACGGUAACAGGAAGCAGCUUGCUGCUUCGCUGACGAGUGGCGGACGGGUGAGUAAUGUCUGGGAAGCUGCCUGAUGGAGGGGGAUAACUACUGGAAACGGUAGCUAAUACCGCAUAAUGUCGCAAGACCAAAGGGGGGACCUUCGGGCCUCUUGCCAUCGGGUGUGCCCAGAUGGGAUUAGCUUGGUGGUGGGGUAACGGCUCACCAAGGCGACGAUCCCUAACUGGUCUGAGAGGAUGACCAGCCACACUGGAACUGAGACACGGUCCAGACUCCUACGGGAGGCAGCAGUGGGGAAUAUUGCACAAUGGGCGCAAGCCUGAUGCAGCCAUGCCGCGUGUAUGAAGAAGGCCUUCGGGUUGUAAAGUACUUUCAGCGGGGAGGAAGGGAGUAAAGUUAAUACCUUUGCUCAUUGACGUUACCCGCAGAAGAAGCACCGGCUAACUCCGUG